UCAAGUGAAGAAGCGCAUACGGUGGAUGCCUUGGCAGUCAGAGGCGAUGAAAGACGUGGUAGCCUGCGAAAAGCUUCGGGGAGUCGGCAAACAGACUGUGAUCCGGAGAUGUCUGAAUGGGGGAACCCAGCCAUCAUAAGAUGGUUAUCUUACACUGAAUACAUAGGUGUAAGAGGCGAACCAGGGGAACUGAAACAUCUAAGUACCCUGAGGAAAAGAAAUCAACCGAGAUUCCCUUAGUAGUGGCGAGCGAACGGGGACCAGCCCUUAAGUUGUAUUGAGAUUAGCGGAACGCUCUGGAAAGUGCGGCCAUAGUGGGUGAUAGCCCUGUACGCGAAAAUCCCUUUGCAAUGAAAUCGAGUAGGACGGGGCACGAGAAACCUUGUCUGAAUAUGGGGGGACCAUCCUCCAAGGCUAAAUACUACUGACUGACCGAUAGUGAACCAGUACCGUGAGGGAAAGGCGAAAAGAACCGCGGAGAGCGGAGUGAAAUAGAUCCUGAAACCGUAUGCGUACAAGCAGUGGGAGCCCACUUUGUUGGGUGACUGCGUACCUUUUGUAUAAUGGGUCAGCGACUUAUUUUCAGUGGCGAGCUUAACCGAAUAGGGGAGGCGUAGCGAAAGCGAGUCUUAAUAGGGCGUCUAGUCGCUGGGAAUAGACCCGAAACCGGGCGAUCUAUCCAUGGGCAGGUUGAAGGUUGGGUAACACUAACUGGAGGACCGAACCGACUACCGUUGAAAAGUUAGCGGAUGACCUGUGGAUCGGAGUGAAAGGCUAAUCAAGCUCGGAGAUAGCUGGUUCUCCUCGAAAGCUAUUUAGGUAGCGCCUCAUGUAUCACUGUAGGGGGUAGAGCACUGUUUCGGCUAGGGGGUCAUCCCGACUUACCAAACCGAUGCAAACUCCGAAUACCUACAAGUGCCGAGCAUGGGAGACACACGGCGGGUGCUAACGUCCGUCGUGAAAAGGGAAACAACCCAGACCGUCAGCUAAGGUCCCAAAGUCAUGGUUAAGUGGGAAACGAUGUGGGAAGGCUUAGACAGCUAGGAGGUUGGCUUAGAAGCAGCCACCCUUUAAAGAAAGCGUAAUAGCUCACUAGUCGAGUCGGCCUGCGCGGAAGAUGUAACGGGGCUCAAACCAUGCACCGAAGCUACGGGUAUCAUCUUAUGAUGAUGCGGUAGAGGAGCGUUCUGUAAGCCUGUGAAGGUGAGUUGAGAAGCUUGCUGGAGGUAUCAGAAGUGCGAAUGCUGACAUGAGUAACGACAAUGGGUGUGAAAAACACCCACGCCGAAAGACCAAGGUUUCCUGCGCAACGUUAAUCGACGCAGGGUUAGUCGGUCCCUAAGGCGAGGCUGAAAAGCGUAGUCGAUGGAAAACAGGUUAAUAUUCCUGUACUUCUGGUUAUUGCGAUGGAGGGACGGAGAAGGCUAGGCCAGCCUGGCGUUGGUAGUCCAGGUUUAAGGUGGUAGGCUGAGAUCUUAGGUAAAUCCGGGAUCUUAAGGCCGAGAGCUGAUGACGAGUGUUCUUUUAGAACAUGAAGUGGUUGAUGCCAUGCUUCCAAGAAAAGCUUCUAAGCUUCAGGUAACCAGGAACCGUACCCCAAACCGACACAGGUGGUUGGGUAGAGAAUACCAAGGCGCUUGAGAGAACUCGGGUGAAGGAACUAGGCAAAAUGGCACCGUAACUUCGGGAGAAGGUGCGCCGGUGAGGGUGAAGCAUUUACUGCGUAAGCCCACGCCGGUCGAAGAUACCAGGCCGCUGCGACUGUUUAUUAAAAACACAGCACUCUGCAAACACGAAAGUGGACGUAUAGGGUGUGACGCCUGCCCGGUGCCGGAAGGUUAAUUGAUGGGGUUAGCGCAAGCGAAGCUCUUGAUCGAAGCCCCGGUAAACGGCGGCCGUAACUAUAACGGUCCUAAGGUAGCGAAAUUCCUUGUCGGGUAAGUUCCGACCUGCACGAAUGGCGUAACGAUGGCGGCGCUGUCUCCACCCGAGACUCAGUGAAAUUGAAAUCGCUGUGAAGAUGCAGUGUAUCCGCGGCUAGACGGAAAGACCCCGUGAACCUUUACUAUAGCUUUGCACUGGACUUUGAAUUUGCUUGUGUAGGAUAGGUGGGAGGCUUUGAAGCGUGGACGCCAGUCUGCGUGGAGCCAACCUUGAAAUACCACCCUGGCAACUUUGAGGUUCUAACUCAGGUCCGUUAUCCGGAUCGAGGACAGUGUAUGGUGGGUAGUUUGACUGGGGCGGUCUCCUCCUAAAGAGUAACGGAGGAGUACGAAGGUGCGCUCAGACCGGUCGGAAAUCGGUCGUAGAGUAUAAAGGCAAAAGCGCGCUUGACUGCGAGACAGACACGUCGAGCAGGUACGAAAGUAGGUCUUAGUGAUCCGGUGGUUCUGUAUGGAAGGGCCAUCGCUCAACGGAUAAAAGGUACUCCGGGGAUAACAGGCUGAUACCGCCCAAGAGUUCAUAUCGACGGCGGUGUUUGGCACCUCGAUGUCGGCUCAUCACAUCCUGGGGCUGAAGCCGGUCCCAAGGGUAUGGCUGUUCGCCAUUUAAAGUGGUACGCGAGCUGGGUUUAGAACGUCGUGAGACAGUUCGGUCCCUAUCUGCCGUGGACGUUUGAGAUUUGAGAGGGGCUGCUCCUAGUACGAGAGGACCGGAGUGGACGAACCUCUGGUGUUCCGGUUGUCACGCCAGUGGCAUUGCCGGGUAGCUAUGUUCGGAAAAGAUAACCGCUGAAAGCAUCUAAGCGGGAAACUUGCCUCAAGAUGAGAUCUCACUGGAACCUUGAGUUCCCUGAAGGGCCGUCGAAGACUACGACGUUGAUAGGUUGGGUGUGUAAGCGCUGUGAGGCGUUGAGCUAACCAAUACUAAUUGCCCGUGAGGCUUGACCAU
rnacentral:rRNA from 6 species